UACGUAGGGUGCGAGCGUUAAUCGGAAUUACUGGGCGUAAAGCGUGCGCAGGCGGUCUGUUAAGACAGAUGUGAAAUCCCCGGGCUUAACCUGGGAACUGCAUUUGUGACUGGCAGGCUAGAGUAUGGCAGAGGGGGGUAGAAUUCCACGUGUAGCAGUGAAAUGCGUAGAGAUGUGGAGGAAUACCGAUGGCGAAGGCAGCCCCCUGGGCCAAUACUGACGCUCAUGCACGAAAGCGUGGGGAGCAGACAGG
rnacentral:rRNA from 1 species